AUUGAACGCUGGCGGCAGGCCUAACACAUGCAAGUCGAACGGUAACAGGAAACAGCUUGCUGUUUCGCUGACGAGUGGCGGACGGGUGAGUAAUGUCUGGGAAACUGCCUGAUGGAGGGGGAUAACUACUGGAAACGGUAGCUAAUACCGCAUAACGUCGCAAGACCAAAGAGGGGGACCUUCGGGCCUCUUGCCAUCGGAUGUGCCCAGAUGGGAUUAGCUAGUAGGUGGGGUAACGGCUCACCUAGGCGACGAUCCCUAGCUGGUCUGAGAGGAUGACAAGCCACACUGGAACUGAGACACGGUCCAGACUCCUACGGGAGGCAGCAGUGGGGAAUAUUGCACAAUGGGCGCAAGCCUGAUGCAGCCAUGCCGCGUGUAUGAAGAAGGCCUUCGGGUUGUAAAGUACUUUCAGCGGGGAUGAAGGGAGUAAAGUUAAUACCUUUGCUCAUUGACGUUACCCGCAGAAGAAGCACCGGCUAACUCCGUG
rnacentral:rRNA from 1 species